UACGGAGGGUGCAAGCGUUAUCCGGAUUCACUGGGUUUAAAGGGUGCGUAGGUGGGCUAGUAAGUCAGUGGUGAAAUCUCCGGGCUUAACCCGGAAACUGCCAUUGAUACUAUUAGUCUUGAAUACCAUGGAGGUGAGCGGAAUAUGUCAUGUAGCGGUGAAAUGCUUAGAUAUGACAUAGAACACCAAUUGCGAAGGCAGCUUGCUACAGGGAUAUUGACACUGAGGCACGAAAGCGUGGGGAUCAAACAGG
rnacentral:rRNA from 1 species